rnacentral:rRNA from 1 species
UGGGGAAUCUUGCACAAUGGACGAAAGUCUGAUGCAGCAACGCCGCGUGAGUGAAGAAGGCCUUUGGGUUGUAAAGCUCUUUCGGCUGGGAAGAAGGGAGUGUGUGCUAAUACCACAUGCUUUUGACGGUACCAGCAUAAGAAGCACCGGCUAAUUCCGUGCCAGCAGCCGCGGUAAUACGGGAGGUGCAAGCGUUGUUCGGAGUAACUGGGCGUAAAGCGCACGUAGGUGGGCUUGUAAGUCGAAUGUGAAAUCCCCGGGCUUAACCUGGGAACUGCAUCCGAAACUACAAGUCUUGAAUGCUUCAGAGGUUGGUAGAAUUCCUGGUGUAGGAGUGAAAUCCGUAGAUAUCAGGAGGAAUACCGGAGGCGAAGGCGGCCAACUGGGAGUGCAUUGACACUGAGGUGCGAAAGCGUGGGGAGCAAACAG